rnacentral:rRNA from 1 species
AGCGAACGCUGGCGGCAGGCUUAACACAUGCAAGUCGAGCGGGCAUCCUUGUGGUGUCAGCGGCAGACGGGUGAGUAACGCGUGGGAACGUGCCCUUCGGUUCGGAAUAACUCAGGGAAACUUGAGCUAAUACCGGAUACGUGCGAGAGCAGAAAGGUUUAUCUGCCGAAGGAUCGGCUCGCGUCUGAUUAGCUAGUUGGUGAGGUUACGGCUCACCAAGGCGACGAUCAGUAGCUGGUCUGAGAGGAUGAUCAGCCACACUGGGACUGAGACACGGCCCAGACUCCUACGGGAGGCAGCAGUGGGGAAUAUUGGACAAUGGGGGCAACCCUGAUCCAGCCAUGCCGCGUGAGUGAUGACGGCCUUAGGGUUGUAAAGCUCUUUUCUCCGGGACGAUAAUGACGGUACCGGAGGAAUAAGCCCCGGCUAACUUCGUG